rnacentral:lncRNA from 1 species
AGCCCGAUGUGGUCCGGAGGCGAUGGGAAGGCGCGGGGCUGGGAGGCCGCGGCGGGAGGGAGGAGCAGCCCCGGCAGGCUCAGUGAAACUUAAAGGUGUUUACCUUGUCAUCAGCAUGUAAGCUAAUUAUCUCGGGCAAGAUGUAGGCUUCUAUUGUCUUGUUGCUUUAGCGCUUAUGCCCCGCCUCUGGUGGCUGCCUAAAACCUGGCGCCGGGCUAAAACAAACGGGAGGCAGCCCCCGAGCCUCCACUCAAGCCAAUUAAGGCGGACUCGGUCCACUCCGUUACGUGUACAUCCAACAAGAUCGGCGUUAAGCCGCCGCCGAAUCAUGUCGAUGAGUCCAAAGCACACGACUCCGUUCUCAGUGUCUGACAUCUUGAGUCCCCUGGAGGAAAGCUACAAGAAAGUGGGCAUGGAGGGCGGCGGCCUCGGGGCUCCGCUGGCGGCGUACAG